rnacentral:rRNA from 1 species
CAGUCGCGUCUUCUGGGAUUCAGCCUUGCUUUUGCUUGGUGCAUUUCCUAGUAUGACGGGUCAACAUCGAUUUCGACCGUCGGAUAAGGGUUUGAGGAAUGUGGCAUCUUCGGGUGUGUUAUAGCCUCUUAUCGCAUACGUCGGCUGGGAUCGAGGAACUCAGCAUGCCAUUAUGGUCGGGGUUCGCCCACGUAACAUGCUUAGGAUGUUGGCAUAAUGGCUUUAACCGACCGUCUUGAAACACGGACCAAGGA